GCACGGAGUUAGCCGGUGCUUAUUCAUCUGGUACCGUCAACUAUCCAAGAAAAGAUAGAUUUCUUCCCAAAUAAAAGAAGUUUACAAUCCAGAGGACCUUCAUCCUCCACGCGGCAUGGCUGGUUCAGACUUGCGUCCAUUGACCAAUAUUCCUUACUGCUGCCUCCCGUAGGAGUCGGGCCCGUGUCUCAGUGCCCGUGUGACUGGUCGUGCUCUCACACCAGUUACUGAUCGUCGACUUGGUGGGCCGUUACCCCGCCAACUAUCUAAUCAGCCGCACACCCAUCUUUAAGCGCCGGAGCUAUAAUAUAAAAGUGAUGCCACUUCUAUAUGUUACGGGGUAUUAACCCGGGUUUCCCCGGCCUAUUCCCCACUUAAAGGAAGGUUGUGUACGUGUUCCGCACCCGUUUGCCGGUCGCCAGCAACGGUAUUGCUACCGUCCUGCUGCCCCUCGACUUGCAUGUAUUAAGCCUGCCGCUAGCGUUCAUC
rnacentral:rRNA from 1 species